rnacentral:rRNA from 1 species
CAUCCUCCAAGGCUAAAUACUCCUGACUGACCGAUAGUGAACCAGUACCGUGAGGGAAAGGCGAAAAGAACCCCGGCGAGGGGAGUGAAAAAGAACCUGAAACCGUGUACGUACAAGCAGUGGGAGCACAGGUUUACCUGUGUGACUGCGUACCUUUUGUAUAAUGGGUCAGCGACUUAUAUUCUGUAGCAAGGUUAACCGUAUAGGGGAGCCGGAGGGAAACCGAGUCUUAAUUGGGCGUUAAGUUGCAGGGUAUAGACCCGAAACCCGGUGAUCUAGCCAUGGGCAGGUUGAAGGUUGGGUAACACUAACUGGAGGACCGAACCGACUAAUGUUGAAAAAUUAGCGGAUGACCUGUGGCUGGGGGUGAAAGGCCAAUCAAACCGGGAGAUAGCUGGUUCUCCCCGAAAGCUAUUUAGGUAGCGCCUCGUGAAUUCAUCUCCGGGGGUAGAGCACUGUUUCGGCUAGGGGGCCAUCCCGGCUUACCAACCCGAUGCAAACUGCGAAUACCGGAGAAUGUUAUCACGGGAGACACACGGCGGGUGCUAACGUCCGUCGUGAAGAGGGAAACAACCCAGACCGCCAGCUAAGGUCCCAAAGUCAUGGUUAAGUGGGAAACGAUGUGGGAAGGCCCAGACAGCCAGGAUGUUGGCUUAGAAGCAGCCAUCAUUUAAAGAAAGCGUAAUAGCUCACUGGUCGAGUCGGCCUGCGCGGAAGAUGUAACGGGGCUAAACCAUGCACCGAAGCUGCGGCAGCGACACUGUGUGUUGUUGGGUAGGGGAGCGUUCUGUAAGCCUGCGAAGGUGGCCUGUGAGGGUUGCUGGAGGUAUCAGAAGUGCGAAUGCUGACAUAAGUAACGAUAAAGCGGGUGAAAAGCCCGCUCGCCGGAAGACCAAGGGUUCCUGUCCAACGUUAAUCGGGGCAGGGUGAGUCGACCCCUAAGGCGAGGCCGAAAGGCGUAGUCGAUGGGAAACAGGUUAAUAUUCCUGUACUUGGUGUUACUGCGAAGGGGGGACGGAGAAGGCUAUGUUGGCCGGGCGACGGUUGUCCCGGUUUAAGCGUGUAGGUGUGUGUUCCAGGUAAAUCCGGUUCACUUUAACACUGAGGCGUGACGACGAGGCACUACGGUGCUGAAGCAACAAAUGCCCUGCUUCCAGGAAAAGCCUCUAAGCAUCAGGUAACAUCAAAUCGUACCCCAAACCGACACAGGUGGUCAGGUAGAGAAUACCAAGGCGCUUGA